rnacentral:pre_miRNA from 1 species
UGUAACAGCAUCUCCAUAUGGAAAGAUCCACCCAGAGUGGGUUCCAGUGGGGCUGCUGUUAUCUA